UCCAUAUCAUCCUCUUUCUUCCACAAACCACCACACAUCUCUAACUCUCUGAUCAAAUCAUGUUUCAUCAUGGUAUAGUGUCCACCUGGAUGGUGUUGCUCCAUAGCUUUCUGUUUAUCUACAUGUCUUUUCAGCAGGACUCUCACUUCACCCUGUAGGGCUGAUAGUUGAGGUCUUGCUACUUCUCUCUCCAUCUCCUCAGUCUUCACUGUCAUUGUGGUUUCACCCUGUAGGGCUGAUUGUUGAGGUCUUGCUACUUCCCCCUCCAUCUCCUCAGUCUUCACUGUCAUUGUGGUUUCACCCUGUAGGGCUGAUUGUUGAGGUCUUGCUACUUCCCUCUCCAUCUCCUCAGUCUUCACUGUCAUUGUGGUUUCACCCUGUAGGGCUGAUUGUUGAGGUCUUGCUACUUCCCUCUCCAUCUCCUCAGUCUUCACUGUCAUUGUGGUUUCACCCUGUAGGGCUGAUUGUUGAGGUCUUGCUACUUCCCUCUCCAUCUCCUCAGUCUUCACUGUCAUUGUGGUUUCACCCUGUAGGGCUGAUUGUUGAGGUCUUGCUACUUCCCCCUCCAUCUCCUCAGUCUUCACUGUCAUUGUGGUUUCACCCUGUAGGGCUGAUUGUUGAGGUCUUGCUACUCAAGCUCAGACUCAACCUUUUGCCAAG